AUUGAACGCUGGCGGCAGGCCUAACACAUGCAAGUCGAACGAGUGGCGGACGGGUGAGUAAUGUCUGGGAAACUGCCUGCUGGAGGGGGAUAACUCCUGGAAACGGUAGCUAAUACCGCAUACCCUCGGAUGUGCCCAGAUGGGAUUAGCUAGUAGGUGGGGUAAUGGCUCACCUAGGCGACGAUCCCUAGCUGGUCUGAGAGGAUGACCAGCCAACCUGGAACUGAGACAAGGUCCAGACUCCUACGGUAGGCAGCAGUGGGGAAUAUUGCACAAUGGGCGGAAGCCUGAUGGAGCCAUGCCGGGUGUGUGAAGAAGGCCUUCGGGUUUUAAAGCACUUUCAGCGGGGAGGCGUUACCCGCAGAAGAAGCACCGGCUAACUCCGUGCCAGCAGCCGCGGUAAUUC
rnacentral:rRNA from 1 species